rnacentral:rRNA from 1 species
GAUCAAGUGUCUGAAGGGCAUUUGGUGGAUGCCUUGGCAUUGAGAGGCGAUGAAGGACGUGACAGGCUGCGUUAAGCCUUGGGGAGCUGCCAGUAAGCUUUGAUCCGAGGAUUUCCGAAUGGGGCAACCCACCGCUUCGGCGGUACCGCAUUGUGAAUAUAUAGCUUUGCGGGGCAAACCCAGCGAACUGAAACAUCUCAGUAGCUGGAGGAAAGGACAUCAACCGAGACUCCGUUAGUAGUGGCGAGCGAACGCGGACCAGGCCAGUGGCUUGGAGAAAACAACCAGAACGGUCUGGAAAGGCCGGCCAUAGCGGGUGAUAGCCCCGUAUGGGUAGAGUUUUUUCUAAGUCCUUGAGUAAGGCGGGACACGAGAAAUCCUGUCUGAACGUGGGGGGACCACCCUCCAAGCCUAAGUACUCCU